rnacentral:rRNA from 1 species
GACAGAGGAGCCAAGCGUUGUCCGGAUUGACUGGGCGUAAAGCGCACGCAGGCGGAUGCGCGCGUGGGGUGUGAAAUCUGGCCGCUUAACGGCCAGGCGCCAUCCCAUACGGCGCGUCUGGAGUGAUGCAGAGGUCGAUGGAAUUGCCGGUGUAGUGGUGAAAUGCGUAGAGAUCGGCAGGAACACCCAGGGGGAAACCAGUCGACUGGGCAUCUACUGACGCUGAGGAGCGAAAGCGUGGGGAGC